GUCGAGGGGCAGCAUGGUCUUAGCUUGCUAAGGCCGAUGGCGACCGGCGCACGGGUGAGUAACGCGUAUCCAACCUGCCUUACACUCUUGGACAGCCUUCUGAAAGGGAGAUUAAUACAAGAUGUUAUCAUGAGUAAGCAUUUUCGCAUGAUUAAAGGUUUACCGGUGUAAGAUGGGGAUGCGUUCCAUUAGAUAGUAGGCGGGGUAACGGCCCACCUAGUCUUCGAUGGAUAGGGGUUCUGAGAGGAAGGUCCCCCACAUUGGAACUGAGACACGGUCCAAACUCCUACGGGAGGCAGCAGUGAGGAAUAUUGGUCAAUGGACGAGAGUCUGAACCAGCCAAGUAGCGUGAAGGAUGAAGGUUCUAUGGAUUGUAAACUUCUUUUAUACGGGAAUAAACGAAUCCACGUGUGGAUUUUUGCAUGUACCGUAUGAAUAAGGAUCGGCUAACUCCGUGCCAGCAGCCGCGGUAAUACGGAGGAUCCGAGCGUUAUCCGGAUUUAUUGGGUUUAAAGGGAGCGUAGAUGGGUUGUUAAGUCAGUUGUGAAAGUUUGCGGCUCAACCGUAAAAUUGCAAUUGAUACUGGCAGUCUUGAGUACAGUUGAGGUAGGCGGAAUUCGUGGUGUAGCGGUGAAAUGCUUAGAUAUCACGAAGAACUCCGAUUGCGAAGGCAGCUUACUAACCUGUAACUGACAUUGAUGCUCGAAAGUGUGGGUAUCAAACAGGAUUAGAUACCCUGGUAGUCCACACGGUAAACGAUGAAUACUCGCUGUAGGCGAUAUACAGUCUGCGGCCAAGCGAAAGCAUUAAGUAUUCCACCUGGGGAGUACGCCGGCAACGGUGAAACUCAAAGGAAUUGACGGGGGCCCGCACAAGCGGAGGAACAUGUGGUUUAAUUCGAUGAUACGCGAGGAACCUUACCCGGGCUUAAAUUGCAACCGAUAUGGCGGAAACGCUAUAGCUAGCAAUAGCGG
rnacentral:rRNA from 1 species